GGUACGCGCGGAUCUUCCAGAGAUUAGAGUUUGAUCCUGGCUCAGAUUGAACGCUGGCGGCAGGCCUAACACAUGCAAGUCGAAUGGUAACAGGAAACAGCUUGCUGUUUCGCUGACGAGUGGCGGACGGGUGAGUAAUGUCUGGGAAACUGCCUGAUGGAGGGGGAUAACUACUGGAAACGGUAGCUAAUACCGCAUAACGUCGCAAGACCAAAGAGGGGGACCUUCGGGCCUCUUGCCAUCAGAUGUGCCCAGAUGGGAUUAGCUAGUAGGUGGGGUAACGGCUCACCUAGGCGACGAUCCCUAGCUGGUCUGAGAGGAUGACCAGCCACACUGGAACUGAGACACGGUCCAGACUCCUACGGGAGGCAGCAGUGGGGAAUAUUGCACAAUGGGCGCAAGCCUGAUGCAGCUAUGCCGCGUGUAUGAAGAGGGCCUUCGGGUUGUAAAGUACUUUCAGCGGGGAGGAAGGGAGUAAAGUUAAUACCUUUGCUCAUUGACGUUACCCGCAGAAGAAGCACCGGCUAACUCCGUGCCAGCAGCCGCGGUAAUACGGAGGGUGCAAGCGUUAAUCGGAAUUACUGGGCGUAAAGCGCACGC
rnacentral:rRNA from 1 species